GUCCGCAAUGAGUGUUCCGAUUUUCUCUUGGUUCUUAAAGGUCUAAGCGCACUGAAUUACCUGGCAAAUGAUGCAAGAAUCGGGUCCUUGAUCGAUGGGCACCGCCUCUUCCAGGUUAAUAUUAGUUACAAAUGUUGAAUAAGUUCUAGUUUUCAAUUUACUCGUAAUGGUUUCCUCUGAUAAUACAGUGUCCACGUUGCCAAUCCGUUCUCCCUGAGCAAGUAGCUCCUCAAGACAUGUCCUCUAUA